rnacentral:miRNA from 1 species
GGUUUCUCUGUGUAGCUUUGGAGGCUGUCCUGGAACUUGCUCUGUAGACCAGGCUGGCUUUGAAAUCACAGAGAUCCGACUGCCUCUGCCUCCCGAGUGCUGGGAUUAAAGGCGUGCGCCACCACUGCCC